rnacentral:tRNA from 2 species
GCCCCUGUGGCCUAAUGGAUAAGGCAUUGGCCUCCUAAGCCAGGGAUUGGGGGUUCGAGUCCCCCCAGGGGUU